UUAUCCUUUCCUUACCCCAUUCAUGGUGCAACACGUGGAUCCUUUUUUCCCUUCUAUUUGAUUCAGUCGAUUAGAUUUCCUUUGUUUCUUUUUUUCUAGAUGGAAAAGAUUACCGGUUACCGGGGUUAUAGCCUUUUGCCCACGAGCUCUUUCGGUCAUUGUGCUGUUGCUGGGUGAGCGGUCAAAGCGGCGCGGAAAUAUCGAGAAGCUCCACAUCUUUCGCUUGAGAAACAACCAAAAAAAUAAAGAUCCUCUCCCCUCCGGCCCUCCCCAUCGUCUUCAUCCUCCUCCCUGACCUCCCCUGCAACAGUCCCACGCGCCCAUCUGCGUCUACCUCCACCCGUCAUCUGGCGCCCUCCUCACUGGUGCCCAAUGUGCGCGCCUCCACGAGGAGGUUCAUCUCCGCGCUCCAGCCGGAGGAGCUCAUGGUCCUUGACGCGGACGAAACGCGGAGGGGAGGCUGGAGAGGAGCGGGGCAAGGAAGCUGGGAGGCGUGGGCGAGGCUCCCAAUCCUCCCAUCCUCUCCUCAUGUCUGGAAGAUUCGAUGGUGGCUGAGCCGUCCGGCAGGGAGAAGGGGCGGAGGGUAUGGAGACCGCCUCGCCCACCUACGUGGAUGGAGGCGGCAAUCGGCGGGGCGGAGGCCGCGGCGUCCACCGGCGGAAGGGAGGUGGGCGGAUACUGUCGGGGAUUGGGGCGGAUCUAUUGACACAGACAACAAGAUGGGUGCAGAGUCUGGUCCCCCUCGACUGUAAGCGGCUGUAAGCCACUGAAUACCAUGAGAAAUUGAGAAUCAAGUGAUUGCUCUUCUUUUCUUUAAGAUCAGAGAUGCUUUCACCCAAAGGUUGUCAUGUACAUCCUUUGUCUGAUAUGGGUUCUUCUACCUCUGUUUUUUCUCCGCACUCUUAUAUUCAUUGUCAACCUGUUAUUAUGGUUGCCUCUGUUGGUUCUAGAUUAUGCCGCACACCUGAUGGUAUGUUUGUGCUGAUGCUCCUCUUUUUUUAUGUUUGUUACACUGUGUACUAUGUAAUCAUAUUCUCAAAUAGAGUUGCUCUGAUUAAAAACCAGUAUGCAUAUAUAGAAUGCCUCAUGUGUACAUCAUCAUGGUACAAAUAAUGAUCUGUAGAUUCUUGCAAGCUUUGUCAUUAUUUGUCAAGCAUAGAUAUUGUGAAAUGCUAUACUAUGCUAUCAGGACAUGAUUUCUUUGUAUUCAGUGUUCAAGGGUAUAUGUUAUAUCUCUGCCUGGGUUUUUGACAUGGUGCUGAGAGCGAACUCAAGCUAGUGAUUGCAUAUGUGUCAACAAGGUGAUGGACCACCUCUUGAUUUAGUUAAGAUAUUUUUCUCCUUUUCCUGACUAUAACUUUACUCGAAAAUCCAUUCAGGAUGCUGUUGUUAACUCAAGGGAGCGCAUGAAAUUUCUCCAAUGGAUAAAACUAUUGCUAAAGUUCUUAAGUAUGGUUUACUUUUCUGCUGCAAAAACAAUAACAAUUGUGCUGAUCUUACUUUCCUUCCCUGGAUUAUAUCCAGACCAGCUUCAGUAUAGGGAAAGAAAGCUUCCGUUUGAUUUGUUCUGAAUGCCUACACCGGUGAACAUUUUGAUUUGUCCCUUCAGAAAAAAUUUCUAUUUGGGAAAGUUUGUUGUUCCAUUCUGUAUCUCGAAUUUCUCAACGGUGGUCAUUGCAUUUUCUGUUAUAACAAGGUCUGCUAUAUACCAAAAGGAAUCUUAGCCAAACAUUCAUGAUGAACAUAUACAAAAUUUUAAGGAACAAUCUUUUUUCCAGUUAUUACCUUUGUUGAUUUGCAAGAACACAGUUCAAGAUAGUUGAAUCUGAUUUGUGCACCGAAGUAAGAGUAAUUUUCUGAAGUACUUCGAUUUUUCUUGCAUUAUAUUUACCUGAGUACUUUGUUUGAACAGUUUGAAUGAAUUGGUUCCUGGUGCACAGCUCCCCUCUCUGAGGAACUAGACGUUGACAUUCAUAGAUGGAAGAUGUCUGGGACCUUGAAGGUCUUCGUGGACACAGCCUCCAAGGGAGGCUGAAGGUGUGGAUCAACCUGGCCGAUGAGCUGUAGGUUGAUGUGAAUGGCGUUGGCGAGAAAGUUCCAUUGUUUUCUUAUCAGUGGUCAUCUUUGAGAUUUGUUCCUUGCAUGUGCUAUACAAAUUAUGCUCCUGGCUGGUGGUAUACCGAAGUAAUGCCUUUGUCGAAUUUACAGAAGUGCUAUUAUAGCCCAGUUUGACCUAGAAACAACGGUGUUGCAUGAAUGCAAUCUUUCCAAUUCUAUCUUAAUGCCAAUGUUCUGCAUGAAUGGUUUUUGUAAGUAUCGGACAUACCCUCCUUCUAAUAACAGGGCUGGUACAUGUUGAAUUGAA